rnacentral:rRNA from 1 species
AUAUCAGUCAUGCAUAGCAUAUCAAUAAGCGGAGGAAAAGAAACUAACAAGGAUUCCCUUAGUAACGGCGAGUGAAGCGGGAAGAGCUCAAAUUUGAAAUCUUCAAGGUUUUACCUUGACGAAUUGUAGUUUAAAGAAGUGAUUUCUGUUGAAGUUUUGGUAAAAGUUCUUUGGAAUAGGACAUCAUAGAGGGUGAGAAUCCCGUAUUUGACCAUUACUUUCAGCUUUGUGAUACACUUUCAAAGAGUCGGAUUGUUUGGGAAUGCAGUCCAAAAUGGGUGGUAAAUUUCAUCUAAAGCUAAAUAUUGGCGAGAGACCGAUAGCGAACAAGUACCGUGAGGGAAAGAUGAAAAGAACUUUGAAAAGAGAGUUAAACAGUACGUGAAAUUGUCAAAAGGGAAGCGUUUGACACCAGUGUUGUUUACUCGAAAAUCAAUUAAAAAGAGUUGGAUUUUGUGUUGUAUUGACUUUAUCAGCUUUCUUCACUCUUUUCCAGCUUUUUUUAAUGCACUUUUCGUUUAACAAGUCAACAUCAGUUUCUUUUGUUGUAAAAAGGUCAUUGGAAGGUGGCUUUCUCUUCGGAGAAAGUGUUUAUAGCCUUUGACUCAUGCAAUCGGAGAGACUGAGGUCUGCAGCGUAGAUCCUUCGGGGUUAGAUACAUUUGUGCUAAGUUAUAGCUUUUCAUAGACAACUUGUUGACUAUGUUUAGUCUUGUAGCUUACUCGCUUAUGCUAUUUUACCUACGCUUAGGAUGUUGAACUCUAUCACACACAG